rnacentral:lncRNA from 1 species
UAUGGCCUCCUUAUUUAAUAGAUUGAGAAGAAAGUCAUUCCUAAUGGUGAUUACCCAGAUGACAUUGAAGAAUGCCUAGCUGGCAAAGAAAUGCUAUUCAAAGUGUGCAACAAUUCUGGAGUUAAGCAUGAUCGAGAUGAUUGCUUCCAAAUUCUAAGGAUAUGUACUGACCUUGGUAUCAUUGCAAUGUUCCAUGAACAUGAUGUCUUAGUUACUCCCAAACAGGUUUUUAUUUUUUCAUUUCCCAUUGUUCAUCUAAUCCAAUUUAUUAUUCUAUAAUUUUACAUGAUAUAGCUAGGAUUUAUUUCAUUUUAGAUGAUUAUAGAGGUUUCAAUUUUAUUCAUUGAAUAUGAAAACUUUUACAGUUGUGUCUUCUUGCUAUUUGAUCUUGAGGCAGAGCUUUUAGCUGGCUUUUCAUGUGAAAAGAUUCUGAACACUAUUGAAGUAAGCUAACACACAUAUAGACCUCUAAGGACUGAUAUUAUUUUGUUAGGAUAUUUGAUAUGAGUUAAGCCAAUACAUAUGUUACGGUUCAUUACUAACUAUGGCCUCCUUAUUUAAUAGAUUGAGAAGAAAGUCAUUCCUAAUGGUGAUUACCCAGAUGACAUUGAAGAAUGCCUAGCUGGCAAAGAAAUGCUAUUCAAAGUGUGCAACAAUUCUAGAGUUAAGCAUGACCGAGAUGAUUGCUUCCAAAUUCUAAGGAUAUGUACUAACCUUGGUAUCAUUGCAAUGUUCCAUGAACAUGAUGUCUUAGUUACUCCCAAACAGGUUUUUAUUUUUUCAUUUCCCAUUGUUCAUCUAAUCCAAUUUAUUAUUCUAUAAUUUUACAUGAUAUAGCUAGGAUUUAUUUCAUUUUAGAUGAU